UACGGAGGGUGCAAACGUUGCUCGGAAUCAUUGGGCGUAAAGCGCACGUAGGCGGCCUGAUAAGUCGGGUGUGAAAGCCCUGGGCUCAACCCAGGAAGUGCACUCGAAACUGCAUAGCUAGAGUCCUGGAGAGGAAGGUGGAAUGCUUGGUGUAGAGGUGAAAUUCGUAGAUAUCAAGCGGAACACCGGUGGCGAAGGCGGCCUUCUGGACAGUGACGUGACGCUGAGACGCGAAAGCGUGGGGAGCAAACAGGGAU
rnacentral:rRNA from 1 species